UUACAAAUGACUGCUAAUACCGGNAUGAUGUCUUCGGACCAAAUAUUUAUCGGCAAAGGAUGAGCCCGCGUAGGAUUAGGUAGUUGGUGGGGUAAAGGCCUACCAAGCCGACGAUCCUUAGCUGGUCUGAGAGGAUGAUCAGCCACACUGGGACUGAGACACGGCCCAGACUCCUACGGGAGGCAGCAGUGGGGAAUAUUGGACAAUGGGCGCAAGCCUGAUCCAGCAAUGCCGCGUGAGUGAUGAAAGGCUUCCGGUUCGUAAACUCUUUUUCCAGGGAUGAUAAUGACAGUACCUGGAGAAUAAGCUCCGGCUAACUCCGUGCCAGCAGCCGCGGUAAUACGGAAGGAGCUAGCGUUGUUCGGAAUUACUGGGCGUAAAGCGCANGUAG
rnacentral:rRNA from 1 species